GUGACAGCAGCCGCGGUAAUACGUAGGCAGCAAGCGUUGUUCGGAAUUACUGGGCGUAAAGCGAGUGUAGGCGGUCUGCCAAGUCCUCUGUGAAAUCUCCCGGCUCAACUGGGAGGGUGCGGCGGAAACUGGCAGGCUUGAGUGCGGGAGAGGAGAGUGGAAUUCCUGGUGUAGCGGUGAAAUGCGUAGAUAUCAGGAGGAACACCGGUGGUGAAGACGGCUCUCUGGACCGCCACUGACGCUGAGACUCGAAAGCGUGGGGAGCAAACAGGAUUAGAAACCCGUGUAGUCC
rnacentral:rRNA from 1 species